UGUUAUUACGUAAUAUCAUUGAAUGAAUAAUCUAUAAUCAAUGGUAAUAUUUAACAAUUAAUAGAUUAUAUUUACGUCUACCUACUACUUACUAUUUAGUACGCGGCCCAUCGGGAAUUUGCCGAUUUCCCUAUGGCCCAAUCCGUCCCUGGACGGAUUUAUCAACUGUGAAAACUAGCCCAGGAGUAUAAUUUGGCGUGGAUAUGCGUCUCACGACUCUGCACCCUUUCGAAAAUCUUCCCACGAACAGGACCGAUGCCAUCGGUUCGCCGGAAACGCUACAACGUGUGGCAACUACUUCGUAAUUCAUCGGUCAUCAGAAACGGUUGUCCUGGAGCAAACAGGAAAUUCAAAUUACAAACAAUUUUCAUAAAAUACCAUUGAAUAUUACAAUGAAAUCGUACAAUCUAUCGUCAUCGUGAAAAUGAAUGGUAUAAAAUAUGAAUUAUGGCUGACCAACAUUAUUUGUUGCCGGCGUGGUACGAGAGUUGGCGACGAACACACGUGAUAACGAACGACAUAAUGCUCCUUCAAUGCAAAUGGUGGUUGCAAAAAAAUUGGAAAAUAUUUGCGUGAAAAACAUGCAAAAAGUUCGCCCGGACAGGGACUCGAACCCUGGACCCUUAGGUUAAAAGCCUAAUGCUCUACCGACUGAGCUAUCCGGGCUGUUAAUACAUCUGCUAAAAUUACCUCUUUUAAAUACGAUGUACGCGUUUCGCAAAUUCGCAAAUUUUUCUUAAACUUUAAGGUGUAAUUUUAUAAUUUUGUACAAUUUGUUCAUAUUUUAAAUUAAAACAUUUGCACUUUAGACUAAAAUACGCAUUACCACGGAAAUCACGUCUUUAAAAAUUUUUAAAGACGUGAUUUUUAACGCUGAUUUUUAAACUGUUUGAAUUUCUUAGCGGAAACCAUUAUUAAGGAAGUUAAGUUAAAAUUACUCAUGUUCACAUUACGUAUGGAUACAUGGUUCAAUGAGACCUCGUGGAGGGUGAAAUUUAUUAUAAUUAUUAGGUAUAUAAAGGUGCCCGGCUCUGGAAAAACAGAUAAGGUUUCCGCCUUCUGCUCAAUAAGAUCCUCGACAACUUGAAAGUUUCGUAGCUCUAAAAUUAUCGCCUCGUAUUCAACGCUGAUUCAAAUUUCAAGUAUACAUUUUUAGUUAUACAAUUGAAAAAUUUAAAUUAGUAUAAGAUCCUCAAUAUUCCUAGUUAUUUUUAAAUUAAUGUGUAUAAUGUUUUAGUAUUUACAAUUUUUUGUAACCACCAUUUAACUUACUAGGUAGUAGGUAGGUACAAUCCCGGAGUAAGGGGGGUACAGGGGCCAUUGGUUUUGGGGAACCCCAUCUCUAUCCUAGAAAUAUAUUUUUUUAAGCGUUCAAAACAGUUUUAAAAAAAAUAAAAUCAUUUGAGUAGU